CCAAAACAAUAACAAUCGUGGCCUCGGUAGUGGCAAUGCGAAGCAAGCGGAGCACAGAAUUAAAGUGGUGAUUUUCCUAACGAGUGGAUUGUGUGACCUGUUUGCAAUAGUUGCAGCCUAUUAAACAAAUGCGCGAUAGAUCGGAGGUUGGCAGAAAAGCAGGCCGGUGGAUUCUAGUGGCAGCUGAAAACGGCAGCGACGGCGGUGCAGUCAUGCAAGUGACGAUUUAUUGACCUCUGUGCAAUGGUGAAAUCUUCACAGAAUCGACAGUUUCGGUUAUCUCGAUAUUCCUAAGCGAGACAUUGGUGACAGGGUUCCGCUUUCCCGGAUAGUCCUCUGAGACACAACCGCCCAGCUUUACGUUAUCCUGUACAUUAUGCGUCCGGAAACGGAUGACCUGUUCAGUUUAUGGGGUGCAUCUUUGUAGCGUACGUUAUUGAAAAAGUGCAACUCUUGCAUUCCAACACUGCCGGAACAUUUGCUGGACUAUGUUCCGUACUUCAGCUCAAGAAUCAAAUUCCUCCGCAGCUGCUUUUGAAUAUCACGGACGCCAACGGUGUUUUUUGGGAUCAGCCAUUGUGAAAGGAGGAAACUGAAACAAAUUGUUUGAUGACGACGGACCACAAAGAGUUUCCGAUCCAAGUAAGGAGUGGGACCAUAGCUGUUGGAUCCUGAGAGGUUCAUUCAGGUGGUGCUAUACCCGGUGAAGGUGCAGUUUUUAUCGAUUCCGAAGAAAACUUUCCAUCGAUUGUCCAAGGUGAGGAGUUUACUCGGCCGUCGGAAGGCGAAGAUCAGGACAAGCGGUAGAGAUCAAAUUGGAGGAUUUGACGGUCAACAAAGACGGAUGGUGUAAUGAAGCAGAGAGCGAAUAUAACUGGCCCGCACAACUGGAUACGAUUCUUCACUAGCUACUUCAUAAAAUCAUUGCUUGUCUCGAUGGACAUUGUGCCAUCGUCCGGCUGUAACCCCUCCAUGGUUCGAGAUUGGUGACCUGAGGAAAAAAACAACGUUUUAUUUAAUGUAGGUUUAAAUAAAAAUGCUCGUAAUAUGUGUUAUU